rnacentral:rRNA from 1 species
GACCUGAGAUCAGGCAAGGACACCCGCUGAACUUAAGCAUAUCAAUAAGCGGAGGAAAAGAAACUAACCAGGAUUCCCCUAGUAGCGGCGAGCGAACCGGGAAGAGCCCAGCUUGUGAAUCUCCGGCUUUCAGUCGGCGAGUUGUAGUCUUGAGAAGGGUCCUCUGUGACGGGCGGCGCUCAAUUCCCUUGGAAAA